ensembl:lncRNA
AUGGCGGUAAAAAAAAAUAUAUAUAUAUAUAUAUAUAUAUAUAUAUAUAUAUAUAUAUAUAUAUUUUUUUUUUUGCAGGAUACGGAGACCCUGUCCUCUGAGACGUCUGACUCUGUGGCGUCCAACUCGGAGUUGUCUGGUGGGAGCGCCUCUGGAGACGACCAGACCCCCAGCCCCAUCUACAAGAACCAGAAGCAGCUGCCCCAGUCACAGCCCGCCAAACCAGGCCAGUCUGGGGAGAGACCUAGCCCCACUGAGUCCCAGUCUCAGAGGAAGCCCCCAGCCUACUCACGACAGUUAUCUGCCCCUCACCUCCAACAGAAAUCAACCUCCACCCAGUCCAAGCCGUCCUCAGCCCACCCCCAGCUCCUGCACUCCAAGUCAGAGUCCCCUCUGACUCAGGUCCGUGCCUUCCAGCCCACCCGCCCCAAAGUACCCCCUAAGCCCCUAGAUCUGAAGCGUCCCCACAGAGCACCACUGGCCCAGAAUGAGAUGCGUCGCUCCCUGGACUCAGGGCGCAUCAGGCGGAUCUUUGGUCAGCAGGGGAACCCUCCUCUGGCCAGGGCCUUCUCAGAGCGUCUGAGUGGAGCUCCAGACCACCUCGCCCGCUACCACGCAGCCAGGGCAGCCAGCCAACCAUCCCCGGGUCAGCAGCCCCCUCAGCAGACCCAGAUCCGGCCCGUGCCCCUCUCCUCCACCUCAGAGGACCAGGGAAAGAUGGAGAACUUCUACUACGAGAUCGCCGGGCCUGAGAACCCGCAGGGCCCCCCCAGCUAUGCCCGCCACAGCUACCAGAACAUGAGGCUGGACCUGGAGGGUAACUUCCGCCCGGCACCCCACCCAGAGGUCAACAAAAGGCCCAUCUCCCGGGGGCAUCACCAACACCAACCCCAGCCUCUCCACCACAACCAGGGUGGACCCAGAGGGGAGAGGGGGCCCCAGCUCUGGUCCAAAGAAGCCACGCGGGCUUGGGCAGCUGCCCACUCCCAGUCCCACUCAGUCUUCCACGGACACUCCCACUCCCAGGACGGCUCCACCCACCACCAUCACCCCUCUCACCCCCGGCCUCAGCGCCAGACCUCCUCCUCAGUCCGGCUGGCCCGUAGUGAGAUGCACCCCCUCCCCUCCUCCUCCAUGGUUCCCCUCUACCAGCACCAACACAACCUCCACCGCUCCAACAGGUCAGCCUCCACAGACCUCACCUCCUCCCAGCUACACCCCUAUUUUGAAAACGGGAAGGUGUGCUAUCGUAAGCCAGAGGAGGCUCCUCUGAGUCUGAGCCAGCCUCCCCAGGGCAUCUCUCUCCAGGGUCAGCCAUCCCAGCCCUCCCCUCCCCAGGCCCACAGACCAACCUCCAAGGACCUGUCUGAGCCCAUCUACGUCAACUUCCCUUUCCCCAGCCCAUCUACUGGGGCCCAAAACACGAAGAACUGGACCAGUACAGACCUGGAUGGAGACUCUACACAUGAUUCUGAACCUCUUGCCACGCCAAACGACCCCCCUCCCCCAGAGGACCAGAGACAGUCCUCCCCUCGCCUGGCCCCUGACCAGGGAGGCUCCACCAGCGUUAGCCUUACCCCCUCCACUCCAGACAGCCCAUCCGCCCACAACGACUCGGCUGCAACCACCCCAGGGAGCAUCCAGGAGAGCAUCUUCCUCCCAGCUCCCAUAGCGUCUACAUCGACAGGGAUCCACUACCGCAGCCGCUCAGACCCCCAGAGCUCCAUCUGCAGUACGGAGCACAUCCCGGGCCUGUCGGGGAAGGAGAUCGCCUCCCUGCUGAUAGAGAAGCUGGCUGAGGAGGAGAGGGCUGAGGGUCCCUCCACAGUCACCUCCUCCUCUGCCUCCACCAACUCCUCCCCUGCCAUGGAGCACCCUGCCAACCCCUACCCCAGCCAGCAGCACAAUCAGCCCCCGCCUGCCUAUAAUGUCUACACCCCGGGCCCCUCACUGAUCAGGGCUCCUCAGAGGGCCGGGGCAGGGGGCUUCCAACGCCAAGACCCGCUCUGGAGGUCCUCGCCGGGGGGCCAGUACAGGCAGGCCUUUGACGUCAUGCCCUCAGGCGAUCAGGUGCUCAAAUACUACCGGACCCAAGACUUUACCCCUGGGCCCCUGGGAGAGCACCAUAGCUCUGGCACUAACCCCUACCCCCCUCGGCUGCACUAUCAAGAGCCCCCCUACCCCAUCCAGAGCCCCCAGGACCCCUGCUCCUCCGGCUACCCUAGCCAGCCCCUCUUGGAGCCCUCAGACUCCCCAUCUGCAGCUUUCUCCAACCUGAUGCUGGGAGCCCCCAGGCCCUUCCCCGGCCAGCCAGGAGGCCCCCAGUACAGCCAAUACCCAUUCCAUCCUGGCCCGAUGCUGGGCCAAUACCCCAACCCUCCCCCCCGCAGAGAUGUGGUCCACGAGCCGGUGCUGCUGCCGCAGGGUCUGAGGAACCAGAGAGGGCUGGCACGGCAGGGCAGCUUACCUGGACCAUCACCCAACUGGACCAUCCAUACUGAGGGUCAGACACGCAGCUACUGCUGA